CGCGUGUGUGAAGAAGGCUUUCGGGUUGUAAAGCACUUUCAGCGAGGAAGAAAGCCUCUGGGUUAAUACCCCAGAGGAAGGACAUCACUCGCAGAAGAAGCACCGGCUAACUCCGUGCCAGCAGCCGCGGUAAUACGGAGGGUGCGAGCGUUAAUCGGAAUUACUGGGCGUAAAGCGCGCGUAGGUGGCUUGGCACGCCGGUUGUGAAAGCCCCGGGCUCAACCUGGGAACGGCAUCCGGAACGGCCAGGCUAGAGUGCAGGAGAGGAAGGUAGAAUUCCCGGUGUAGCGGUGAAAUGCGUAGAGAUCGGGAGGAAUACCAGUGGCGAAGGCGGCCUUCUGGCCUGACACUGACACUGAGGUGCGAAAGCGUGGGUAGCAAACAGGAUUAGAUACCCUGGUAGUCCACGCCGUAAACGAUGUCGACUAGCCGUUGGGACCUUUAAGGACUUAGUGGCGCAGUUAACGCGAUAAGUCGACCGCCUGGGGAGUACGGCCGCAAGGUUAAAACUCAAAUGAAUUGACGGGGGCCCGCACAAGCGGUGGAGCAUGUGGUUUAAUUCGAUGCAACGCGAAGAACCUUACCUACCCUUGACAUCCAGAGAAGUUGGCAGAGAUGCCUUCGUGCCUUCGGGAACUCUGAGACAGGUGCUGCAUGGCUGUCGUCAGCUCGUGUUGUGAAAUGUUGGGUUAAGUCCCGUAACGAGCGCAACCC
rnacentral:rRNA from 1 species